GCCAAUUGUGACUUUAAAACAGUUACAGAGUUUAAUGGCUAUGAUAUGAGAAAACUGAGGAUAUCAACAACAUUGAAGUUACUUCACAAUACUAACCUGACAGAGUGAAAAGGAAGGCUGUACACAUUAAACAUAUUCUAAAAUAUGCAUCCUGUUUGCAACAAGGCACUCAAGUGAUAUUGCUUUGCCACAUAUUUUGCAGUUCGCUUUUUGCCCUGAAUACAAAGUGUUACAUUUGAGGCAAAUCCAAUACAAAAUAUUACUGAGUACCACUUUCCAUAUUUUCCAUCAUAGUGGUGGCUGCUUACGGACUGGGGAGUUUUUCCAGGAUAAAAAAGAAACAGAAUGGACCUAAGCACAGGCAAAAUCCUAGAGUGAAACCUGGUUCAGUCUGAUUUCCAGUGGAAGAUGAAUUCUCCUUUCAUAAGGACAAUAUUCUAAAACACAAAGCCAAAUCUAAACUUAAGUUGCUUGACAAGAAGACAAUAAAGGUGGCCGAGUUUUGGCUUAAAUCUGCUUGAAAAUCUAUGGCAAGACCUGAAAAUGGUUGUCUAGGGAUGAUCGACAAACAAUUUGACAGAGCUUGAAGAGUUAUGAAAAGAAUGAUGGGCAAAUGUUGCACCAUCCAGGUGAGGAAAGCUCUGAGAGACAUACCCAGAAAUACUCACAGCUGUAAUCAAUGCCAAAGGUGCUUCUACAAUGUAUUGACUCCAGGGUGUGAAUACUUAUGUAAAUGAGAUAUUUCUGUAUUUCAUUUCCAAUACAGUUGCAAAAAAAAAAAAAAACAUGUUUUCACUUUGAGAUUAUGGGGUAUUGUGUACUUGCAAAAGGUACUCUAGAUUGUCUUUUGACUCAAGAGCUCCUGAAUAUGGCCAAAAAAAUGAACUAAACAAUACUAAAGGAAAACUCCACUCAUAAACUAUAUUUUUGUAUUUUUUCAUUACUGUUAAUACAGUCCCACAAUGUUUUGCCUGAUAGCAGUCAGGUUGUCAAGAGAUUGGACUUUCAAGAAGCAAAGUGUCACUUGCCACAUCGUCAUGAUUAAGCAAAACACAUCAUAUGAAGAAAAACGCAUCAUUAUGAUGUGGCAAGUGACACUUUGGACUCCUGAAAAAAACAACAUAAGAUUUGUUAUAGUGGUUGCUCUAUAUAAAAGGAAAAAUCCACUCAAAAACAAUCUGUAAACUAUGAAAUAUGACUGUUUUCACAAAGAGAUACAUCUUCUAAACAUGGAGAGGAAUGGCAUCAGAACCCAAAGAGGAUGUAUGACCCACUGUAUUUAACGGCCCCACCUCAAACAGUUCAUAGCUAGCAGGUUGGCACCAGACAGCACUGACAGUUCAUAGCUAGCAGGUUGGCACCAGACAGCACUGACAGUUCAUAGCUAGCAGGUUGGCACCAGACAGCACUGACAGUUCAUAGCUAGCAGGUUGGCACCAGACAGCACUGACAGUUCAUAGCUAGCAGGUUGGCACCAGACAGCACUGACAGUUCAUAGCUAGCAGGUUGGCACCAGACAGCACUGACAGUUCAUAGCUAGCAGGUUGGCACCAGACAGCACUGACAGUUCAUAGCUAGCAGGUUGGCACCAGACAGCACUGACAGUUCAUAGCUAGCAGGUUGGCACCAGACAGCACUGACAGUUCAUAGCUAGCAGGUUGGCACCAGACAGCACUGACAGUUCAUAGCUAGCAGGUUGGCACCAGACAGCACUGACAGUUCAUAGCUAGCAGGUUGGCACCAGACAGCACUGACAGUUCAUAGCUAGCAGGUUGGCACCAGACAGCACUGACAGUUCAUAGCUAGCAGGUUGGCACCAGACAGCACUGACAGUUCAUAGCUAGCAGGUUGGCACCAGACAGCACUGACAGUUCAUAGCUAGCAGGUUGGCACCAGACAGCACUGACAGUUCAUAGCUAGCAGGUUGGCACCAGACAGCACUGACAGUUCAUAGCUAGCAGGUUGGCACCAGACAGCACUGACAGUUCAUAGCUAGCAGGUUGGCACCAGACAGCACUGACAGUUCAUAGCUAGCAGGUUGGCACCAGACAGCACUGACAGUUCAUAGCUAGCAGGUUGGCACCAGACAGCACUGACAGUUCAUAGCUAGCAGGUUGGCACCAGACAGCACUGACAGUUCAUAGCUAGCAGGUUGGCACCAGACAGCACUGACAGUUCAUAGCUAGCAGGUUGGCACCAGACAGCACUGACAGUUCAUAGCUAGCAGGUUGGCACCAGACAGCACUGACAGUUCAUAGCUAGCAGGUUGGCACCAGACAGCACUGACAGUUCAUAGCUAGCAGGUUGGCACCAGACAGCACUGACAGUUCAUAGCUAGCAGGUUGGCACCAGACAGCACUGACAGUUCAUAGCUAGCAGGUUGGCACCAGACAGCACUGACAGUUCAUAGCUAGCAGGUUGGCACCAGACAGCACUGACAGUUCAUAGCUAGCAGGUUGGCACCAGACAGCACUGACAGUUCAUAGCUAGCAGGUUGGCACCAGACAGCACUGACAGUUCAUAGCUAGCAGGUUGGCACCAGACAGCACGAACAGUUCAUAGCUAGGAGGGUGGCACCAGACCAGUUAACAGCACUACGGCUGUACCUCACCCUCGCUUUGGAAAAUCUGACCAUAAGUCUAUCCUCCUGAUUCCUGCUUAUAAGUGUCGUGGAAAUUCUUACACAGGGACACUCGAAGUCAAUCUUAUGUGAGCAGACCAAGUCUUUUUAGGUUGCUCCAAAACGGAAAGGUGGAAUAAAUGAGUCGAGAGCAGGUUCUUACAUUGAACAAAAUUAUCUUUUGAGGUAUUUUCUCUUAAAACAAACACUCCCACACAAUCAAGGAUGAUCUCACAAGGAUAACACAAAUCAUCUUCUUUGCAGGAAUAAGUAACACAACGUGAGUAACUUUUAACUAUAAACAUAAAUCACAGGUGUGUCAGCGCCUUAACUAUCAGUUAGAUGAGAGCUCCUUUCAGGUGGUGGUGCGGAUCUAUGGUUGCUAUUCCCAAGAGGUAGUUUGUCCUCUUCCUCUCCAAAUCGUCAGGUAAAUCAUCCCCUUUGGAGAAUCAAUCACUCUUUUUUCCAGCCAGUCUCCCCCUGCCAGUUCCCUCCU